CCUACGGGGUGCAGCAGUAGGGAAUCUUCCACAAUGGACGAAAGUCUGAUGGAGCAACGCCGCGUGAGUGAAGAAGGGUUUCGGCUCGUAAAGCUCUGUUGGUAGUGAAGAAAGAUAGAGGUAGUAACUGGCCUUCAUUUGACGGUAAUUUCUUAGAAAGCCACGGCUAACUACGUGCCAGCAGCCGCGGUAAUACGUAGGUGGCAAGCGUUGUCCGGAUUUAUUGGGCGUAAAGAGAGUGCAGGCGGUUUAAUAAGUCUGAUGUGAAAGCCUACGGCUUAACCGUAGAAUUGCAUCAGAAACUGUUGAACUUGAGUGCGGAAGAGGAGAGUGGAACUCUGUGUGUAGCGGUGGAAUGCGUAGAUAUAUAGAGGAACACCAGUGGCGAAGGCGACUCUCUAGUCUGCAACUGACGCUGAGGCUCGAAAGCAUGGGUAGCGAACAGGAUUAGAUACCCCAGUAGUC
rnacentral:rRNA from 1 species